UUGGUGUGUUUGGAUAACUUUAGAAUGAUCGAGAGAUAGCGAGAGAGCGAGACAAGCUAGCUUGAGAGAGAAAGAGAGAGUUUGAGACUGAAGAAGAGGAGACGGGAAGAAGUUGAUGCUCGAUUCGAACAGAAAUUGAGUGAACUGAUCAUCCCAGGGUUGUUUGAAUUGGGAACAAAGAAACACAAGUGCAAGAAUUCUGUCUCUCUCAG